UACGGAGGGGGCUAGCGUUGUUCGGAAUUACUGGGCGUAAAGCGCACGUAGGCGGCUUUGUAAGUUAGAGGUGAAAUCCCGGAGCUCAACUCCGGAACUGCCCUUGAAACUGCAGUGCUAGAAUCCUGGAGAGGCGAGUGGAAUUCCGAGUGUAGAGGUGAAAUUCGUAGAUAUUCGGAAGAACACCAGUGGCGAAGGCGACUCGCUGGACAGGUAUUGACGCUGAGGUGCGAAAGCGUGGGGAGCAAACAGG
rnacentral:rRNA from 1 species